rnacentral:tRNA from 1 species
GCGGGGGUCGCCUAGCCUGGUAGGGCGAAGGAUUGCUAAUCCUUUGUCCGCAAGGACCCGUGGGUUCGAAUCCCACUCCCCGCG